AAUAUUACAAUACAUCACUUGUCUUUCCCAGCACAGGAAUACCUGACUGCGCCAGACAUUGUUGCAGAAACUCUCUGCCAAAAAUGGCAAGCAGGUUCAAUAUUAAUAGAGCCAAUGUAUGGGAUGGAGCAAUCCGCGGCUUCAAAGGGGCCUCAUUCGACCCCUCUCAUCAGAUGCAGGUUAAGUUUACUGAUGAUGAGGGACAAACUGAGGAUGGAGUGGACACUGGUGGUCCCAAGCGUGAGUUCCUGACCCUCCUAAUGGAAUGCCUGAGAAUGAGAAGAAUAUUUGAUGGUCCACAGGACAGGAAAUUCCUCACGUUCGACAAUGCAGCUGCAAAAGAUGACGAAUACUUUCAUGCUGGGAGGAUGAUUGCAACUUCUAUAGUUCAAAAACACAAGGAGAAAAAGAAGAAAACAUCAUGUCAUGGCUCACUGUCUCAAAAUCUGAUUCUAAAUGCAUAAUGUUCUUUAUAAAGAUAUAACUAAUACACAAUUAUGAAUGUAUAAUAUAAGCUGUUUUGUGUAUUUAAUCAUGCGUUGGUCUACAAUUUAAUGAUGGCUUCUACAUAUUUCACAAACAGACAAUGAAAAAAUGUGUCCUUCAUGCUGAUAACUAGUGUGCAUCUGCAAUUAGUAUUCUAAACAGAGUAGUGUGUUGAAUCCUUAUUUCUUGCAUUUGAAACAGAUACAAUACAAAAAGUGAACUUA